AUAGAUGUUUACCGGUAAGAAUACGCGCGUCCUUUUGGCCACAACCGUUUUGUACGUGACUACAUACCGUUCAUCCGUUACGUGCGCCGGACACAAAUCAACAAAUUCAGCCACCAUUGGACUGCUACGUCGCUCAAAUUGGCCCGCUCGUCUGCGCGACUGUCGUUUUUCUCUGAUUCGUUGCGCCGGUGAUGGACCAGCAAUCGGCUGGAUUUGACGCUCUAUCGAUAUAGAGACUGGUUCUCCAUCAAUCUCUUUUUCCGGUGACUGAUUUUCUCAUGCGGGAACGUGGACCGGUGGCUCAUUUAUCUGGGCUGCAGCUUCUACCACAGCAAUUCCUCGUUGAUGGAAAUCGGAGCCAUUUUUACUGGACUUGGCUGGACUUGGUGCUGAAUGACAACCGCUUGCGUGACCGGAGGAUCCAAUUUCGAUAUCCUGAUUACUCGUCGAUCCAACUUUACAGCAGCCGGAGCCUUCUUUUUUAACGUCUCUGAUGCUUUCGGUUGCAGCCUAGGAACAACUGCUGCGCACGAUUCUCCGUAUCGCUGAUCAGGUUCGAAUUUUACCACAGUAUCCGUUACUUUACUUUUUAUCGUCUCUGAUCUUUUGCUAAUUUUUUUCUUUCUUGACAGCUUUCUCACCGUGGCAGCUUUUCAGUCAGCUGCUUUCGUUCCUGCCGCAAAACUGACUCUACGAACCUCUCUUUUCUUCGGUGGUACCAACGAGACCGUUACUUCGCCGUUCCAAACAAACUCAGAUUUUGCGUGUUUCCAACUCGUCUCUGGUUUCUCGUCGUCGGAAGAAAUUACAACCGGUUCGUCGAGCAUGUUUUUACCGCAGUUCUCUGUUGCCGGUUCAUUGCUAAUUGCUGUUUUGCUUUCUUCCACAGGUACCGGCGGCACGUUCAUCUCUGGCAAUUCGAAUUUGAGAUAUUCUUUCGAAAAUAACACGUGACCACAUCCACGAACCAUACACGUCUGGAAUUGACCAUCUCGUUCGGCCGCAAUCGUCAUCAGCUCAAAACAAUCAGCGUGAAAAACGUGUUCACAACUAAUCGUCCGUACCAACUUUUCGUCGAGCUGCAUUCGCUUGAAGCACACCGGACAAAUCAUCUCUCGUUGAGUAUCUGCGAAAAAAUGAAACAGCCGCAGAUUCGACUCCGUGAACCAGUUAAAUUAAUCAAACACAAAAUGAAAACAGGGAAGAAGAAAAAAUUCACAAAGAACAAACUAUCCUCUCACUACACUAGCCAAUUACAACGGAAAACAACACGGCGCAACGCCUUCAAGUUAACUAUUGAAUGUCCUAACGGUUGUGCACCGCAUACAACGGGCUUGAUUUUCGGCGUGGCUUGAAUUCCCAAUUGAUUCCGGCGUUGAAUAUCAGCAUUCUUCGCAGCAUUUCUACUCGAACGUCGUAACUGCUGAUUGUCUCAAUUCGGUAACACGUGCAUCCUGACUGACCAAUGGAAAGCUGGAUCUACGUGCAUUGUCAUUUCCAGGAUUCGGAGAAUUUCGAUCAGCCGUCAUCUCAAAUAAUCGUCGCAUUCGAUCAGGUAAGUGAUCCAAAAAUUCCUCUGAUAAAUAUUCCGGUAACCGCAUCGGCAUGUCGAAGCUUUGUAUUGUCUCUGUUAGGUACGUAACGUGGUACAAGCUUGCAACGAGCUUUCAACGCUUGACCUUGAACUUUGGCACGAGCUUGUUCAACUGUGCUCGGAUUUUCCAAACCAAAGCUUGUCGAACUUGGUACGAAAGCUCCAAUAACGCGAUUUUUCGGCACUUUUUCGCGAUUCUUUCGAGAAAUAAACUCUCACGUACCUUUUUAACGAACGUUGCAGUCGCCUAGUUGACUGAUUGACACGAUGUGGUCGCCUGGUUGACCAAUUUUCGCCGUAGUCGCCUGGUUGACCAAAUUUGACCGGAAUUCUGGGGUUUGUAAGAACUCUGAUAAGUAAAAAACUCUGGUUGGAAUACGCGAUUCCGCCUGUACUAGGUACAGUUUGCCUCUCUCGAGAGCAGUAAUAGCGGUUAGGCUAGAGGUUAGGCUAGAGGUCGCGAUACCUCGUGACUUUGCCCUAAUUUUGUGACACAAAAAGUGCACUGAAAAGCCCUGGGUACAGUUUACCACGUUUAGGGCGCCAAAUAUGUGAUAGCUGGGACACUCCUUGGUUUACAGAGGGAGAG